UAUUUGAUUUUCAGGAACACUCAGUCGCUGCUUUCACCCGUGUUCUUGAUGAGGCCAGUGCUGUUCUUCUCUUCAGAGACAAAGUCUAUCUUCAUCCCGAUAAGGUAUAUACAAGUGGGGAAUGCAGUUGCAUUUCUAGUAUCUAUGGCAUUCGGAAGUAUGUUGGCAAAGGGAAGCUAAGGAGUCUCAAAUAAUGAACCCUUGACAACAACUGAUCUGAAAUUCCCUCUGAGUCCUGCACAAUUGUUUGUGUGAAUAGCAUUGGAUUAAUUAACCAUUCUUAAAACCCAUUUCUGUUUGCAGAGUGCUGGUGGACCGGGCACUGGAAGUGAUAUUGGGCUGAUUGCGAGGUUCUGCUGUGGGCCCUUUGUCGGUCCAUAUUUCCUCACACGACCCAUUAUGUUGUGGGCCAUUUUUAGGUGGAUUUCAGUUUGUAGUUAGUGGAUUAUUAAUCAUCUUGUGUGGUAAAGAUGAUGCUUGUGCAAGUUUUCUUUAACAUAUUCAAGAUCUUUAUGAGGUUGAUGUUGCCACAUCAACUCUCUGCUUCAUUUGCUGCUAUGAUGAUGGUUUUAUUUGCAUCUGAUUCUAUCUGUUUCUUUUACCAGUUUGUGAAUGUUUUUAGUUGCAGCUGCUAAUCCAUGACAAAUGGCGGAACAUGGGUAUUAGUACUGCUGCACACAGUUCUAAAGAAAAAAUAAGAAUUCCUAGAGUAAAAGC